GAUGAACGCUGGCGGCGUGCCUAAUACAUGCAAGUCGAGCGAACGGACGAGAAGCUUGCUUCUCUGAUGUUAGCGGCGGACGGGUGAGUAACACGUGGAUAACCUACCUAUAAGACUGGGAUAACUUCGGGAAACCGGAGCUAAUACCGGAUGAUAUUUUGAACCGCAUGGUUCAAAAGUGAAAGACGGUCUUGCUGUCACUUAUAGAUGGAUCCGCGCUGCAUUAGCUAGUUGGUAAGGUAACGGCUUACCAAGGCAACGAUGCAUAGCCGACCUGAGAGGGUGAUCGGCCACCCUGGAACUGAGACACGGUCCAGACUCCUACGGGAGGCAGCAGUAGGGAAUCUUCCGCAAUGGGCGAAAGCAUGACGGAGCAACGCCGCGUGAGUGAUGAAGGUGUUCGGAUCGUAAAACUCUGUUAUUAGGGAAGAACAUAUGUGUAAGUAACUGUGCACAUCUUGACGGUACCUAAUCAGAAAGCCACGGCUAACUACGUG
rnacentral:rRNA from 1 species